AUUGUUACUUUGUUUACUUAAGUUUAAACCUUCAAACAAACAGGAGUUUUAUAUUUGUUUCAUACUGGUAAUGUUAUGCAUAACUUGUUACGGGCUUUGGACAAUUGGAUGGGCGAGAUUUGUUGAGCUGUUUAAUUUAGCUGACAAUCAUAAGGAGGCACUAACAUAUUUAAGUUGAAUCAAAGGUAAAGGGAUCCUUAGCUGCCGUGUUUGUGAAAAUUAAUUUAGUAAAAUGGCAACCUUUUCACAAUCCUCCUUAGACAAGGGAUCUGACAUUACAAAAAGCUUUUCACAAUCCACCAUUGACAAGGGAUCUGACAUGAUCCAAGACUUCUUGUGCUCGACCUGCGAAGAAAAAAAACUGGAUAAAAUGGCUGAUUUCUACUGUGAAUCUUGUGUGAAGUUUUAUUGUGGAGAAUGUGUUAACAUGCACAACAAGUUGUUUACAAAACAUACCCCCUAUGGAAGAGGAGCUAUGAAGAAAUGGCCAGUGGCCAAGAAGGUUGAAGAUUUUCUUCUAAAAUGUGAUAUUCAUAAAGAAGAAAGCCUGAAAAUGUAUUGUGAUGAUCACAGUGAGCUGUGCUGCACAAAUUGUGCAUUCCUUAAACACAGACUCUGCCAAAAGGUUGUUCUUAUAUCCGACAAAGUGAAAGGUCAGUCCACAGACCUUCAAAAACUGUCAGUUUCUAUCAAAACUAUUCUGGAAGAAAUAAAAAAACUUCAAGACAACCAAGAGGCUAGCAUUCAAUAUGUUCAAAGUUCAUAUGAUGAGCAGUUACACACGAUACAGAAAACUCGCCUAAAUAUAAAUUCAGCCUUAGACACAAUCGAACAGAAGACACGGAAGGAAAUGAAAGAUACUCUGACCAAACUACAAGCCUCUUCCAAAAGUGAUGUUGACAAAUGUAUCAGGCUUCGGGAUGAAUUACAACAACUUCGUGACGCCAUGCAGGAUAUCAGUGAUAAAAGCAAACUGGAACUAUCCUUUAUAGCCAUCAGGAAAUGCAAGGAUAAAAUACAGCAGUCUGAAGCCUUUCUGAAGGAGAAUUCUCUUCAGGCUAAAGUUUCAAUAACAUUUCUGCCUAACCAUGAAAUUGUACAGUACUUGUCUAAACUGUCUGGUUUUGGACAGAUUGAACACAGUACUCAGACAUUGAUGGGACAAGAGGAUCCAAACAAGGUAAUCACUGUGCAGGGGAAGUCUGAACACAAUGUGAAAAUAUCAAGCGAUUCACAAAAAUGCAUUAUCAAAGCCAUCUGUGUUCUACCAGACAGAAAGGUUCUAGUUGUAGACAAUAAUAAUGCGAAUGUCAAGCUUCUUGACCAGCAGUACCAGGUGGUGAGUCACUGGAGUGCUACUGGCAGGCCAGUGGGUAUGUGUGAGAUCACACCCAGUGAGGUGGCUGUGACUCUUAAUGGUCCAGAUACAAACAUACAUGAGGUCCAGUUCAUCAUAGUAAACAACAGGCAGCUGGUGAUGGGAAAAAAGCUUCAGUUACAACAUACAUGUUAUGGUCUUGUCUUCCACCAAGGAGACCUGUAUAUUACUUCUGGGACUGCACUGUACAAGUAUACACUCAGUGGGAAAUUUGUCAGCAAGAUGUAUGAGGAACCAUCAGGUUAUGCGACAAUAUACAGUUGUGCUGUGAGUCCCACAGGGGACAAGUUGUACAUCAUCUCCAAGGACAAGCUUCUUACCCUGGCCAGGGAUGGGUCAGUCCUGUUUACCUUUACUGACCCAGCACUGGCCAAAUGGCCAAUUGGUGUAAAUGUGACACCUUCCGGGCAAGUGCUGGUAUGUGGAGCCCGAUACCCCAACUACUAUUUUAUCAUACAGUUGGACAGUGAGGGAAAAAGGAAGCUGGCCACUCUUGCUACGGAGAAGGAUGGAAUGGUUAACUCAUCGUCAGUCUGCUACAACAGACACACCGCCUGUAUAAUUGUCGGACUUUUUAGAAACAAUAGUAUCCUGGUGUUCAAAGUACAAUAGUGUUAUUUAACAAGCAUCUUGUUUUAUUAUUCAGAUUAUUCAAAUUGGCCAUGAGAAUAUGCUGUUCUACAAUUAGAGCAUUGUGAUAUGAUACCAUAACAAUGAUAGUAUUAAUAAAGAGUAUAUGUGAACAAUAUAAGUGCUAUGCAUGUAUUAAGUUGUUAAAUCUAUGAAAAUUCUUUGUGUAUUUCUUUUUCACUUAACACGUGAAAAUUAUUUUAGUUCAGAGAAUAAUUUAUGUUAUUUACCUGACAUCAAAAUCGCACUCGAUUUAUGUAUAUUGGCUUUCAUGGUUUUAACAUACAUUACAAACGUAUAGAAGAUUACUUGAAAUUUGUUUAAUCCUUGGUUUUGAAAUAUGAUGAAAAUUGUUGUUUCCUGCUUUGAAAACACCUUUCUUUAAAAAUUGUAAUGACCUUUUCUCAGGUUUGAAUCAAAAUUAAUACCCAAUGAAAUGUUCCAAUAUUCUCUUCCAGUUCAAUUAAAUGAAUAAAUGUUAAUUCAGCAUCGGUUAAUAUGAAAAUUAUAGCGAUGCAGCAUUUUGCCAUUUUGUUAACCCGAGUUUACAGUGCGAAGCUGUUCGAACAAGACUUUACACUAUCAAGACAUUUUGUGUGUGCCCCUUUAUAUUUUCCAGAGUGUUUAUUUUUGCAAAUGGUGUUCUUAUAUAAAACAAUUAGAAUUUUAUCAUAUACCCUGUUUCCUAUUUAAUACAACCAUAAAAUAUUAUUUUAAAUUACACAUGUGUAAGACAACAUUUUAAACGUUUUCAUUGGCUUAGUUUUCGUUUAUUGACCAAUCACAUUUUGUUAUUUUGCUGAAAUGACGUUGCAACGUCAAAUGACCUCACGAGAUGUAAUCAACAUUCGGGAUUUAUCAUUAUGUUUGCGUAAAUAUGUAUUUAAUUCGAUCAUUUAAAAGCAUGUGAUCAAAAAAGAUCCGACACUCGUUGUCAUAUUAAACCAUAUUUUAUUAAACUCGUCCAGGAAAUUUGUCAAAGGCUCGCUUACUAACAAAAUUCCUGAACUCGUUUAAUAAAAUAUGGUAUAAUAUGACAACUUGUGCCUGAUCACAUAUAUAUAUAUUGCAUUCUGUGAAAUUGUAUAUGUUAUAACAUUUAGUUCUUCCUCACUCUUCCCUACCCUUAUAUGUAUGCACUUACAUUAUAAAAAUUCAUAUAAUUGUUUUUUUUUAUAUUUGAUAUUCUAACAUUUUUAAGUAAUGAGUUUCACAUAAGCCAAAAUUACAACAGUGCAUUCAUGUAGAAUUAAGUAGCUGCAAGACAUUUAAGAAAUACCAAUAGUAAGAACCAGUUUAAUUGAUCUUAUUAAAAAUAAUAUGCAAUAAACAUAAAUUGAUUACCAUUAGUCUUUUGGCAUAAAUUCUCCAGUUUUAAAUAGUAAUGAAAUACAAUGCAAUCUAUUUUAAUUAAGUUGGAUAUAUUCCAAGAUAACAAUUACAUGCAUGAACAGGUAAAUUAAAGAUUGGCUCCCUAACAAGUCUAAAACACUGUUCCAGUAAACAUCAAGAAUAAAAUAAAAAAAUACAAAAAAGUAAGUUUCAACAGGACUCGAACCACUGACCCCUGGAGUCAUGGACUAAAAGUCUACCACUAAGACCACUCGGCCAUCCGUGCUCCUACAAUGACUGAUGUUUUUAUAUAAGCAAUCAUCGUAGUUUCACAAAAUAUAACGACAACAACAGAACUCUCCAAAUUAUUGAAUCGUUUCGCGCUGCAACGCUUUAUAAUGUUCAGGUUUUUAAAUCGUCAAAAGAUGCAUAUAAUGGCUAUUUUAGAGCAUGGUAAACGUUCAGUAUUACUGUUUUCUCACAUACAUCAUAACUAAAACGAAAAUUUGCGAAUCCCAAUCAACUUUUUUCACUUUGUCAAUUUACCACAACAUGAAAAGGUCUCUUUUAACCUGAACAUGGAGUGCUGAUGGUGACAAAUCGUAAUCAUGUAGUCAUUAUCUAGGCCGAGUUAAAAUCUGGGUCACAUGUACAAAAAACUCCAUCACUAAGUUAAUUCAUAAAAUAGCCUUGAUACCACUUUAGAGGCCACAUUUUUUACUCAUUCAUGAUGCUACCUGAAAAUAUUGCCAUAACACACCUGUACAAUGGUGUUGUUGCAUUUGUAUAUGAGCCUUGCUCUGGGAAAACGGGGCUUAAUGCAUGUAUGUAAAGUGUCUUUCCAGAUUAGCCAGUCGAGUCAACACAGGUCAAUCAGGGCGACACUUUCUGUCUUAACUGGAUUUUCGCCUGUGUGGAUUGCCAGUUUUUCCAGAACGAUGCUCAGGUGUUUAUGUUGAUAUAUAAUAUUGACACAUAUACAGAGCCAUUGCAAUGGCAGAAAUAGUCAAGUAUACAAAUAUGUAUAUACAUUGUUCAUAUAUUUUCUGUUCACAUGUUUCUUGUUGAAUUUGGCUGUGUUAUUUGACUCUUUUCAUAUCACAAUUUAUAUGCAUUAUAUAAAGUUAUACCAAGCACUAUACAAAGUGGAUGUGAUCAAGUGUGGGGCCUUAUACACCUUAUGUGUGAUCAAGUGUGGGGCCAUAUAAAAAGUAUAUGUGAUCAAGUGGGGGCCUUAUACAAAGUAAGUGUGAUCAUGUGUGGGGCCUUAUACAAAGUAAAUGUGAUCAAGAGGGAGGCCUUACACAAAUUAAGUGUCAUCAAGUGUGGGCCCAUAUGCAAUGUGAGCAUGAUUAAAUAUGUGGCCUUAUUCAAAGUAAGCAUGAUUUCUGUGUGAGGCUUUAUACAUAGUGAGUGUGAUAAAGUGUGGUACCUUAUACAAAUUAAGUGUGAAUAAGUGUGGGGAAUUAUACAAAAUAAGUUAAAUUAAGUGUGGGGCCUUAUACAAAGUAUGUGUGAUUAAGGGUGGCGCCUUUUAAGAAUUAAGUGUGGUUAAGUGUGGAUCCUUAUACGAAGUAAGUGUGAUUAAGAUUGGACUUUUACAAAGUGAGUAUGAAUAAGUGCGGGGCUUAUACAAGGUAAGUGUUUGUAAUUGUCGGGUCUUAUACAAAGUAAUUGUGAUUAUGAAUGGGGCUUAUACAAAAUAAGUGUGAUUAAGAAUUACCCUCGCUUUAAUACAUUGAUAAAUCUUAUUUGUUUAGGCAGAUUUGUUUCAGACUUGUUAACUACACUCUUUAUAUAUUUACUUGUAAGGCUAUUGUGGUAUUUUAUACUAAGUCUUUCAAGAUGCCACUCCUAAAGACGAUUGUGUAUAUAUAAUGCAAAAUUAGUAAUCCAAAUGAUUGUUAGAAAUAUAUUUUUGUUAUUAUGCACCCUUUGCAGAUGCGGGAUCGAAUCACUGUUUACUUUUUAUUUGAUGUUAACAGUCGAAUUGCUUGUAACAUGAAAUUUGGUUAAGAACAAAACAUCUAUAGGUAUAUGGUAAGGUUAGUUUAAUUUCUAAGCCUGAACCUAUUUUUGGGCUUGUUUCCAUUUAUAAAAUGAGGAUAUUUCUUAUCAACAAAUUGUAUCAUAAUCUAAACUUAUUUGCCUACCUAAAGUUCAUUAUAUGCUUCUUUUUUUUGCAUUCUAAAAUGUUUGUCCAUAUUUACCAAAUCUGAUUGUUUAUCUGAUAUAUUUGUUUUCCAAUUGAAGCUAUGAUUUCACAAUAUGUUUGUCUACAGUAAGACUGUGUCUAGAGACAAUCUAAACAAAAACCUGAAUAUCGUAUGUGUAUUUUCUUGGGUUAUUAACACUGUUUCAGCAUACAUAUCUUCAUUUCAUUUUUCUUCUCCAAUGUUUUUUACAUUUAUUUUAAAUUCCUUAAAAUACAUGAAUGUUUAAAUUGCUAGUAAAAUUAAUUUUCUAUUCGUAUUAUUUAUUAAUACAAUUAAACUGUUUCUAAAUUUUUUAUAAACUCUGUUUUUGUAUAGGUAAGCUUUCCGACAAUAU